rnacentral:piRNA from 1 species
CAUCAUGCCUGUAAGAACAAAAGGCCCCUU